AUUUUAGUGAUUCCAAUUUCACCCAGGCAUAUACGGGUUAACAUCUGAUAGCUCUCCCAUAGGGAGACAACAUAUGUUAAACUGAUUUUUGGAAAGCGGCGGAACGUUUAGGGGCUUGCUCCACUUCCGCCACGGGUUGGCCCGGUAUUGCAGAACCGCCGGGAUAUUUUUGAGUCCCGCCCGU
rnacentral:snRNA from 2 species